GAAGGCAGCUUUCUGGAUCAUUACUGACACUGAGGAACGAAAGCAUGGGUAGCGAAGAGGAUUAGAUACCCUCGUAGUCCAUGCCGUAAAACGAUGUGUGUUAGACGUUGGAAAUUUAUUUUCAGUGUCGCAGCGAAAAGCGAUAAACACACCGCCUGGGGGGUACGACCGCAAGGUUAAAACUCAAAUGAAUUGACGGGGACCCGCACAAGUAGUGGAGCAUGUGGUUUAAUUCGAAGAUACGCGCAGAACCUUACCAACACUUGACAUGUUCGUCGCGACUCUAAGAGAUUAGAGUUUUCGGUUCGGCCGGACGAAGCACAGGUGCUGCAUGGCUGUCGUCAGCUCGUGUCGUGAGAUGUUGGGUUAAGUCCCGCAACGAGCGCAACCCUCACUUUUAGUUGCCAUCAUUAAGUUGGGCACUCUGAAAGAACUGCCAGUGAUAAGCUGGAGGAAGGUGGGGAUGACGUCAAGUCCUCAUGGCCCUUACGUGUUGGGCUACACACGUGCUACAAUGGUAUCUACAACAGGAAGCAAGACUGCGAAGUUAAGCAAAUCCCUAAAAGAUACCUCAGUUCGGAUUGCACUCUGCAACUCGAGUGCAUGAAGCUGGAAUUACUAGUAAUCGUGGAUCAGCGUGCCACGGUGAAUGCGUUCCCGGGUCUUGUACACACCGCCCGUCACACCAUGGGAGUUGGUUCUACCUUAAGGCAAGGUUUCAAACCCUUGACCACGGUAUAGUCAGCGACUGGGGUGAAGUCGUAACAAGGUAGCCGUA
rnacentral:rRNA from 1 species